GGAAGGACUAGCAGUCUCUAGGGUGGGGGUGGGGGAGUACCUGCUGGGGCCACAGCCUGAAAAACGGGAAAUCUCUGAGUUUGGGUAAAAUUACUUCAAUUGCUGGGUAUCAUAGCCAAGAGUAUAUAAAAGAAUUCAUAUCCCUGCCUGGGUGAGAAAUAAUGUGAGCCCAGGGCCACCCUUAAGGGAGAGAACUUGGGGAGGAGACUGGAGAGAAUACUUAAGAAAAAAUGACUUUGAGGGAAAGAAUUCGGGCUUUAGAAGCAAAAGGGCUCAAGUUAGAAUCUGAGCCCACCUGCUGCAAAAGCAAAGCUCCCAGGGCAGCCUUGUUCAUUUAUUCGCCACAUGUUCAUUGAUAGCCUACCCUGUGCCAGGCACUGUUUGAGGCUCUGCAAUAUUUCAAAGAUCCUUGCCUUCGAGGACCUUAUAUCCUAGCUGGGAGAUGGGCAUAAUACAUCAGUAAAUUAUAUUUAUGUUAGAAGGUAGUAAGUGUUAUGGGGGGAAAGUUCAUGAAAAGGUGAUCUAGAUUGGGGGGGUGUGGAGGUUGCCAUUUUAAGUAGAGGGUCAGGUUAGACCUCUUUUGGAAGAGGAGAAUUUGAACUAAGACCUGCAGGGGUGAAGAAAUUGACAAGGUAGGUAUCAGAGAGCAGCCAGCAAGCAGGCAAGCCAGAGUCUGAAGGGCCCAAGGGGGGGUCAAUGGACUGGAGGGAUCCAGGGAGAGCAGAAGCAGGUGAGGCCUGAGUGGGAAUGGGGAAAGGCACAGACUCCAUGGGGCCCCAUAGACCUUUAUAUAGGUUUUGGUUUUCUCUGGAAAUAAAAUGGGGAACCUGGCCAAAUUUCCAGUGAGGGAAAACAUGAUCAGACAAAUGUUUCAAAGGAUCACUGUUGCUCCUAUAGAGAGAAUAGACUGGGGCUGGGGGAGGGAAGUAGGGGAGAGGUGAGAGAAGAAGCAGGGAGCAGGGAGAUCCGGUAGUUGCUGAAUCUAGCUGAGUCUCAAUGUUCUCAUUUGUCAAAUGGGAAUAAAAAUGUGUCCCAGAAUGUGUGCAAUAAAAGUUUUGUGUGUAUGUCUCCAGCCUUUAGCAGAUGCAAUUCAACGAAGUCUCACUGAGUGAAAAAAUGAAUGAUUAUCUUUCCAUGCCCUCCUCACUUACAUAACUCCUAUCCCAAGCCCUGAAACAGCUCCUUGGAAGGUUCUAAAAACCAACAAACAUGGAUUCUUUUUUUUUUUUUAAUAUUUUAUUUAUUUAUUUGGCAGUGAGAGAGGGAACACAAGCAGGGGGAGUGGGAGAGGGAGAAGCAGGCCUCCUGCCGAGCAGAGAUCCUGAUGCAGAGAUCCUGAUGCGGGGCUCGACCCCAGGACCCUGGGAUCAUGACCUGAGCCGAAGGCAGAUGCCUAACGACUGAACCACCCAGGCACCCCAACACACAUGGAUUCUCAUCCCAAUUAGCCACUCUUCUUCAUCUGUAAAAUGGGGAUAAUAUUAUCUACUCCCCAGGUCGUAAGCACAAGCCCCAGCUCAAUCCCAAAUGAAAUGAGGCCACCGUGAGAAACCGGGUCCGGCUUUGCAUCUCAUUUACAUAAAUAUUUAUUAAUCGUCGUUAAACUGAACAGAAACACGCAAUGCACUUCGGGUGUCCGACGGGAGUUUCAUCUUCGCUACAAGAGGAAGGGCCUCUUCUUCAGGGAAUGGAAGCAGCCGACUGGACCGGGAUCGGAGUGUGUGUGAGGGCUGGUGGAGGGGGUAGGAGGCGGUGGGUUCCGGCAGCUGGCAAUCUUCGGGAGCAGCCUCAGCUGGCACCUCGGGGGGCACCAGGCAGUGGCCAGAGCAGGGGGUCUCCAGGUGCCCGGGGCUGAGGCUGCCCCCACUGUGGGCUGCCUGCUUGCUCACUCUUUUCAACAACAUCCUACCUGAGGGCGCCCGAGGGCAGAGACGCCGCUGUACUCAUGUCUGCCACCAGAGGGCAGCCUCCACACAUGGAUUUCUGCUCCCCAGCCCUCUCUGGUCCCCCUGUGUGGGUCCCAACUGGGCUGGAGAGAAACCCGGUCCAAGGCGGAGCAACAGAGAAGCCUGGUCCAGUGCAUGCAAGCAAUCUUCUACUCACCCAUCUUGAAUGUAUUAAAGGCAGCCGUAAAGAGUGAGAGCUCUGGAAUCAGACUGUUUUCUUGUGAACCCAGUGAACCCUCUGGGCAAAAGGGUCAAUUGCCUAAUCUGUAAAAUGGAAUGAGCCUCAUUUACCUAAUCUGUAAAAUGGAAUGAUACUAAUGAGGCUUAAAUGAGAUCAUACAUAUAAAAGGCCUAGCUCAGGGCCCAACACAAAGUAAAUGCUCCAUAUAUGUCACCCAUUGACAAUUUCUAUGACUUGCGUAUUCAUCCAUCCAUUCAUUCCUCAGUCCAUCCCUCUCGGCCUGUAGCACCUCCUGUAUACUGGGCCCUCUGGCAGGCAGGUGAUGGUGCAAAGACAAAUGGUGGGAAGGACACUUCUCAAAACAGUGUGUUGAGUUAUGAUACACCCACUGAACAGGGAGGGAAGGUUGACUUGGAUGGGCAAAAGAGAACGUUUUGGGGUGAUGAAAAUGUUCUAUAUCUGUGUUGUGGUAUACUCAUAUGUUGUUUAAAAUUCUCAAAAACUCAUAGAAAUGCAUAUCUUGGGGGCACCUGGGUGGUUCAGUCGGUUAGGUGACCGACUCUUGAUAUGACCUCAGGUCUUAUCUCAGGGUCCUGGUUCAAGCCCUAAAUUGGGCUCUGCGCUGGGAGUGGAACUUACUUAAAAAAAAAAAAAAAAAGGAGGGGUGCCUGGGUGGCUCAGUCGUUAAGCGUCCACCUUUGGUUCAGGUCAUGAUCCCAUAGUCCUGGGAUCGAGCCCCACAUGGGGCUCCCUGCUCAGCAGGAAGCCUGCUUCUCCCUCUCCCACUCCCCCUGCUCGUGUUUCCUCUCUCAUUGUGUCUCUCUCUGUCAAAUAAAUAAAUAAAAUCUUAAAAAAAAAAGGAAAGAAAAGACAAGAAAAGAAGGAAAGAAAUAUAUAUAUUUGAUGGGGGGGGGGCAGAGAGAGAGGGAGAGAGAAACUCAAGCAGACUCCGCAAUGAGCGUGGGGCCAGAAGCAAGGCUCCAUCCCACAACCUGAGAUCUCGACCUGAGCUGAAACCAAAAGUCCAAGACUUAACCGACUGUACCACCUAGGAGCCCCUAAAUGUAUAUUUUGAAAUGGUACAUUUUAUUGUAUAAAA